GGGUAUAGUAGCAAUACUAGAGACCGGCGCACGGGUGCGUAACGCGUAUGCAAUCUACCUUUCACAGAGGGAUAGCCCAGAGAAAUUUGGAUUAAUACCUCAUAGUAUUAUAGUAUGGCAUCAUAUUAUAAUUAAAGUCACAACGGUGAAAGAUGAGCAUGCGUCCCAUUAGUUAGUUGGUAAGGUAACGGCUUACCAAGACUACGAUGGGUAGGGGUCCUGAGAGGGAGAUCCCCCACACUGGUACUGAGACACGGACCAGACUCCUACGGGAGGCAGCAGUGAGGAAUAUUGGACAAUGGGCGCAAGCCUGAUCCAGCCAUGCCGCGUGCAGGAUGACGGUCCUAUGGAUUGUAAACUGCUUUUGCACAGGAAGAAACAUCCCGACGUGUCGGGACUUGACGGUACUGUGAGAAUAAGGAUCGGCUAACUCCGUGCCAGCAGCCGCGGUAAUACGGAGGAUCCAAGCGUUAUCCGGAAUCAUUGGGUUUAAAGGGUCCGUAGGCGGUCUUAUAAGUCAGUGGUGAAAUCUCCCCGCUCAACGGGGAAACGGCCAUUGAUACUGUAGGACUUGAAUUAUUAGGAAGUAACUAGAAUAUGUAGUGUAGCGGUGAAAUGCUUAGAGAUUACAUGGAAUACCAAUUGCGAAGGCAGGUUACUACUAAUGGAUUGACGCUGAUGGACGAAAGCGUGNGUAGCG
rnacentral:rRNA from 1 species